AAGCUCGUAGUUGAAUUUCGGGGUUAGUAGGUUGGUCAUGCCUCUGGUAUGUACUGGUCUCACCGAUUCCUCCUUCCUUAUGAACCGUAAUGCCAUUAAUUUGGUGUUGCGGGGAAUUUGGACUGUUACUUUGAAAAAAUUAGAGUGUUUAAAGCAAGCUAACGCUUGAAUACAUUAGCAUGGAAUAAUGAAAUAGGACGUUCGAUCCUAUUUUGUUGGUUUCUAGGAUUGACGUAAUGAUUAAUAGGGAUAGUUGGGGGCAUUAGUAUUCAAUUGUCAGAGGUGAAAUUCUUGGAUUUAUUGAAGACUAACUACUGCGAAAGCAUUUGCCAAGGAUGUUUUCAUUAAUCAAGAACGAAAGUUAGGGGAUCGAAGACGAUCAGAUACCGUCGUAGUCUUAACCAUAAACUAUGCCGACUAGGGAUCGGAUGAUGUUAAUUUUUUAAUGACUCAUUCGGCGCCUUACGGGAAACCAAAGUGUUUGGGUUCCGGGGGGAGUAUGGUCGCAAGGCUGAAACUUAAAGGAAUUGACGGAAGGGCACCACCAGGGGUGGAGCCUGCGGCUUAAUUUGACUCAACACGGGGAAA
rnacentral:rRNA from 1 species